CAUUUCCCCAGCUGAGCUGCUUGGGACUGGGUGAAACACUGAGACUCCAGAACUCAUCGCUUUGCUAGGAGGCUGUUGGAGCAAUGAUCCAGACAAGGAGACUGAAUGCACCCUCGCUGAGUUUGCUGAUGGAACUAAGCUGGGAGCCAGUGUUGAGCUGCUUGAGGUGUAGGAAGGCUCUGCAGAGGGACCUGGACAGGCUGGAUUGAUGUGCCAAGUCAAGCUGUGUGAGAGUCAGCAAGGCAAGGUGCUGGGUCCUACUUGGGUCACAACAACCCAUGAAUGUUGCCGGUUGCCUGGGGGAAGAAACCAACCUCACCUGCCUACAGCCUCCCUUCAGCCUUCUUUUCUGCAGAGAAAGAUCUAGUCCCUGGUGAAACUGCCUCACUGCUUCCUCUUCCACCGCUGUCCACAUUCGGCUGGCAAGACACUGAUUCAGUUACUCAGCUGGCUCAGAUACCUGAGUGAUUUAAAUCACAGAAUGGCUCAGGUUGGAAGGGACCUCACAGAUCAUCUACUCCAACCUCCCUGACAUGGGCAGGGACACCUCUCAACCAGACUUGGUUGCUCAAGGCCUCAUGCA